rnacentral:rRNA from 1 species
GACGAACGCUGGCGGCGUGCUUAACACAUGCAAGUCGAACGGAAAGGCCCCUUUGGGGGUCCUCGAGUGGCGAACGGGUGAGUAACACGUGAGUAACCUGCCCUUGACUUCGGGAUAACUUCAGGAAACUGGGGCUAAUGCCGGAUAGGAAUCCUUGCUGCAUGGUGGGGGUUGGAAAGCUUCGGCGGUUUUGGAUGGACUCGCGGCUUAUCAGCUUGUUGGUGGGGUAGUGGCUUACCAAGGCUUUGACGGGUAGCCGGCCUGAGAGGGCGACCGGCCACAUUGGGACUGAGAUACGGCCCAGACUCCUACGGGAGGCAGCAGUGGGGAAUAUUGCACAAUGGGCGGAAGCCUGAUGCAGCAACGCCGCGUGCGGGAUGACGGCCUUCGGGUUGUAAACCGCUUUCAGCAGGGGCGAAGCUUGUGGUGACGGUACCUGCAGAAGAAGCACCGGCUAACUACGUG